rnacentral:rRNA from 1 species
CAGCAGCCGCGGGAAAACGGAGGGUGCAAGCGUUAAUCGGAAUUACUGGGCGUAAAGCGCACGCAGGCGGUCUGACAAGUCAGAUGUGAAAUCCCCGGGCUUAACCUGGGAACUGCAUUUGAAACUGUCAGGCUGGAGUCUUGUAGAGGGGGGUGGAAUUCCAGGUGUAGCGGUGAAAUGCGUAGAGAUCUGGAGGAAUACCGGUGGCGAAGGCGGCCCCCUGGACAAAGACUGACGCUCAGGUGCGAAAGCGUGGGGAGCAAACAGGAUUAGAUACCCCGGUAGUCCCUGUCUCUUAUAC